rnacentral:lncRNA from 1 species
GAAGUAAUAGAGAAGAAAAUAUGAUGUUAGAUGAUAUGUGACUUUGGGGUUUAGGAAUUUCAUUCUCGGUGUUUAGGGUUAAGCGUUGUAAAAUCGUCGUAAAUGGUUCGAUUCUACGUAAUUUCUUCGUAAAUGGAAAAAGACGGGUCUGGUAACUUCAUCGUAAAUGGAAAAAUGCGGUCAUGGUAACUUCGUCGUAAUCGGAAAAGUUUGGUAAAUCGUUUCGACGUAGUUUCGUCGUAAAUCGAAAAACGCGGGCCUGGUAACUUCGUCGUAAAUGGAAAAACACGGGCCUGGUAACUUCGUCGUAAUAUUACGUCGCGUUUACAACGAAACGUUUUCUAUAUAUUGAGAUGCCGAGAACGAGGCUGCCUCGUUCAUUCCUUCCAAAUUCCUUUGCUCUCCCUCUAAGGUACACUCCCUUUCCUCUUCUAUUUUUUUUAAAGUUAGUUUAGGUGAUUAAUUAGUUAGGUAAUUAGUUUAGUGAUUAGUUAGGUAAUUAGUUUAGGUGAUUAGUUAGUUAACGAAAUACUAUAGUUUAGGUGAUUAGUUAGGUAACAGAAUAAUUUUUUAAUUAUGUCGUCGUAAUUGAUUAAGUUUAUUUUAAUUUUUUUUAGAUGGCUCCUAGAAGGAAACCAGCAGCACCUACUUAUGCCCAGUUAGUUGGCGAUGGUUCCGGUACAUCUUCUUCCGGUCCAUCGUCUUCUGAUGCAGUUCCAGACUCUCAAACUUCUCAGAGAGAUUUUUCGAGUCCUCCUCUUCCACCGCAGAUGC